UAAGGUUUCAUUGUCUAAGCUUCCACCAGUGAGGGAUAAAAGCUUGUAUGUGAAUAUUCCUUUCUUGUCUACAGCCAUACCGUCCUGAACACGCCCAAUCUCAUAUGAAUAUUCCUUUCUUUUUCCCCACAAAAUGAAAUAUCCUGAGACUCCAUAUAUAUUGCUUCUCAGAAAUCAAGUCACCCUCAUCAAGCAAGCAGGUGCCUGAAGCAGCAGCCUACUGAGCUGGACUGACAGGAUGGGGGAGAAGUCAAAUCAGUCUGAAGUGGGGCACUUGCUUUGAUAAGACAGGUGUUUUCAUUACUGGCAACAGGUGCACCACAGAGUCCAGAAAGAGAUCUUGCCAAUAUCUCAAUACCUGCUUAUAGCAGCCAGAUCACUGGCUGACCGAAGCUACAGAAGAAGACUUGAAACUGUCCUGCGAGGAUGGGGUGAGCAGGAAGCAUCAGGAGAGGUGCGCUCACAGACACCCAGCCCCGAGGCCACUCUCCUCUUAGAGAGUCCACAACACCACACCUCACAGGAGCUGAACAACAACGGGUGCCGAUGUCCGGACGUACCUGGAUGGUGAAGAUAACCAGAUUUGCUUGUUUGGGGUCUGCUUGUUGAUCACGUAGGUUCCUAGAUCUCCACCCAGUUUAACUGUUAAAACACCACUCUGGCGGACCAGGUGGCAAAAGCAUGAGGAAAAUAAAACAAAGCAAAGUUACCACUUUGUCACAAUUGCUUCAUAUCUCGACACCCUGGCAAGUACACAACACACCCAUGAAGACGCGUCUUUCGUGUUCAGGAGGAGCAGAUCAUGCCAGAAGCACACUGCUUUCAGUCAGACUCUGAUUAAUCAGGCUGUGCUCUCCCGCAUUCCCCGGGGACUCCCAGUGUUCCUGUCUCCAGGUGAGGAAGCAGCAGAGGCCUGCCUGAGGAGGAGCCUCCACAUCCUGCCUGCUGCCUUAGUCCCCUCAAAGGCCAUCGGAACACACAAAAGGAUGCUAAAAAAAUGCAGACACCAACUCUACCUGGGUACCACGUCAGCCCGAAGGUGGGACAGGACAAGUUCAUUACCCAAACAAGGAAAACAGGCAAAGUCGAGGGAAGGAGUCAAACCACCUGCUUUGCUGGUCUUAGAAGAGCCAUAGCACCAGCUCUGCUGGUAGAAGGCAGACACUCCAGACAGUUUUUGUUUUCAGAUCCUUCCCACGCAUCUCACAAGCUGCUCUCAAGGGCCCUGAAUUCUUUAAAAGACUGGUUGGUCCAUCUUUGCUCAAUAAAUGCUCAUUUAAAUUUGAAAACACUCUUUAAACAAAGGAGCCCUUUACUCUUAAGGUCUGAGGUUUCUUUAGAAUGCUCAGAAUAUUACAGAAGCAGCCACACUGCCCAGUCCCUUUAUUGGAGCUGGUGUGCAAAAGGCAGCCCCUGGCUGUUCCCCACCCCGGGCAUAGCCCAUGGAGACACACGGCCGCUUUUCUGUGGGCUUCUAAGCCCCUUUCCAAUCAAGAGGCCCUGAACAUUUCUUAGAACACUUUGUGUUUGGUUUGUGUGAUAAUAAUAACAUAUAAUAUAUAUGAUAUACAUAAUGUAACUGAUAGGCAAGGGAGGACUCAACUGGGUUACACUUUUUUUUUAAAAGAGAUGUUAUUUGAGAGAAAGAAUAAGAGAGAAAGAGAAAGAGCACGAGGGGAACGGUAGAGGGAGAAGGAGAAACAGGUUCCCCGAGGCCAACACAGGACCCUGGAAUCACAACCUGAGCCGAAGGCAGAUCCCCAACCGACUGAGUCACUCAAGUGCCCCUGAAUUAUACUUUUAACAACAUUUUUUUCUGAUGAAAAAUGAAACAAAGAGGAAUUAUACAGACAUCAAAAAUACAAGAGUCUAAAUAAAAUGAAAUCAAUAAAAAUAUUAACCAAUA